CACCAGCACACACACUCAGCAGCUGCCCUCGUGGGUAUUUGUUAUAAGGCUGUUGAGCUCCAAGGGCUCCUUUUGGGAGGACCAUGCUGUUCUGGUUCGUCUUGGAGUCUGCGUGUGGGAUUCUUACGGUUCUCUGAUGGACCCAGUCACGCCAGCCAGCAUGGCACAGAAGCAAUGUGCAGUUCAACGGAGAAGAGCCACGGCGCUAUGUGGCUUGUCUCCGGAACGUCCUCAUCUGGGGAACGCCACCUCAGCACCCCCUCAGCGCCCCAAAGCUUCUGUCUGUGGUUGUUUCCUGUGCGAGUACAACUCGGAGCAUUCAAGCUGUUGUACCAGACUCAUCUUGCCCAGUGUCAGAAUCUCUUGUUCAAGACAGGCUGGGUGUGAAGCAUGCCUAUAGUCCUGGCACAUCAGGAGCUCAAGGCCGGUCCAGCUACUUGAGACCCGUGUGAGAGCUUAGAAGGUAAAGGUGCUUGCUGCUGUGCUUGACAGCGUGACGGAAAACAAGAAUGGACCCCUACAUGUUGUUCUUGGAUCUCCAUACAUGUUCCCAUGGACCCCCAAUAAAUAAAAUGUAAUUAAAAAAAAA
rnacentral:lncRNA from 1 species